UAGCCUGACCUUUGACCUAUUCAAUCAUGGUAGACAUACAGAUAUAUUUAAGUUCGCAAAGGGUUUUAUUUAUGAGGGGAUCUUGUUGUGGAGUCGAAUGUAUUUUUCUGCCUGAAAUUUUGAGAACUUAAUGGUUCAUAAGUCUGUAGCCCAUCCAUGACACUGAGACUCAUUGACGCCUGAAAUCGUUCCAUCUUACUCGCCUCACCCUCUACACAUUUAUAUAUUUCCGAUCCCCAAAAAUCGAACAAAGAGCAUUGAUCUCCUGCUGCGAAUGCCUAAAAUAUCGUCGCCCUAUUACCAUCACGAACCUCACGAAUACAAAAAUAUGUAUCACGCAUAUCACUGAAAAACACUCCCAAUCCGUUUAAUUUCAUGCACCCGUGCAAAAUGUGAACAAAGCGCAUUGCCAUCAUUGGAAUAUUAAUUUGAUGGCGUGGAUAGCCAUAAGAAUGCGAAAACUGAACUCCAACCAGGAAACGGGGAUUUAGCAAGGGGUGAAUAAAUCAUAAAAUAUUGCGUGAAACUACAGACGUAAUAAUGUCAAUUGGUUUUUCCUCUAGGUACGAAGGAGGUGAAAACACGUCGGGAAAAUGUAGUCAAGUUGUCUGCGCUUUCUGGCAGUGACACCAUUCCUUCCGAAGACUUGGUUUCGUUGUCAGUCGAAGACAGUGAAAUAAUGGCAGUGGUUCUAGAGGACAGUUUUUCUUUCGUGGUCUCAUUUCACAUCCGGAGUCCGACCAAUCUCAAGAAAUAGUGUAGUUUUUUUCUCAAUUUUUUCUUCGAGAAAUGGUGCAAAUAAAUGACAGUUCAAUAUUACGUACGUUUUUAUCAUUCAAAAAUUUCCUAAUUGUUGGAGUUUUACAUGGCAUCGUUUUAUGUCUCGUUCGAUCCUUCGUCGGCGCGUGAUUCCUACUUGCAGUGGGAACUGACGGGUUGGACGGGACUCUUGAUCUUUGGAUUUCUCGGGCUUGGUCUCGUUUUAGUGGUUGUGAUAUUCGUAUUAAGCAUGGUCCUGUGCCUAGAUUACUAUAAACAUGGAGGAAGAGUUGGUGACUCGGGAGAUGAAGAAGAUCCGGAUGGAUGAAGUACUAAAAGUGCAAAUAAGAUCAUAAAUCAACUGUGUUAAUUAAACUAGCCCAAUUUUUCUGAAAAAUCUCUCGUAUAUAAAAGAAAACUUUUUAAAAUUGUAUGUAUUUAAAUGUAAAUUUUCUCUAUCACAAAAUAAAAAUUUUUUGUGUAGUUUAUGACGUCUUUCCAUACUCUCAUUUGUUAUUGAUAAAAAAAGGUUGUGAAUCGGUAGGAGGAAUCUUUAAGUUUUAUUUUAAAAGUGCGAUUAUUGAAAAACUCUGUUGUCGGCGUGCAACAUUUGCAUAAUAUUCGCACAUUUUUACCCGAAACGAACCUUUCGCGAAUGUAUGGAGAUUCAUAGAAAUUUGUAGAAUUUUGGUGAUACUACGGAGUGCCUGAUGAUGCCUUUCUUCACGUUAUUAUUAAGAUAAGCUGCCCACCUGGCCUGAACGUCCCAUUUGUAGGUAGUUAUACGCUUACAAAUCAUUACCAAGUAAAAGUAGGAGACGAAGUGGAUAUGAAAAUUGUGUAUAUUUUUGUAACCCACAUUAUACUUGUAAAUAACCUUUUAAAGUAAUCAGAGUUUAGGGUCAGACUUAAUUCCUUGUAUUA